UUGAGCUCAGAUCAGGUAGGACUACCGCCUGAACUUAAGCAUAUCAAUAAGGCGAGGAACAGAAACCAACAGGGAUUCCCCUAGUAGUGGCGAAUGAAGCGGGAAAAGCUCAAGUUUGAAAUCUGGCGGGUGACCUCCAGAGUUGUAAGCUGAAGAGGCAUAGACCGACGCGGUCCGGGCUCAAUUUCCUUGGAACAGGAGGUCAUGGAGGGUGAGAACCCCGUCUGUGGCUUGGGUGCCGUCGUCCUUGUGUCUUGCCCUCGUAGAGUCGGGUUGUUUGGGAAUGCAGCUCAAAAUGGGUGGUAAAUUUCAUCUAAGGCUAAAUAUUGGCGAGAGACCGAUAGCAACCAAGUAGAGUGAUCGAAAGAUGAAAAGUACUUUGAAAAGAGAGUGAAACAGUACGUGAAAUUGUUGAAAGGGAAGCGUUUGGCAUCAGCCCAUGGCGCCCAAAGAUCAUCCGGGCUUCUGUCCGGUGCACUUUUUGGGCGUUGGGCCAGCGUCGACUUUGCCUGCUGGAGAAAGGCCUUGGGGAUGUGGCUCCCUUCGGGGAGCGUUAUAACCCUUGGCGUCAUGCAGUGUGGUGGGGUCGAGGUCCACG
rnacentral:rRNA from 1 species